UACGUAGGGUGCAAGCGUUGUCCGGAAUUAUUGGGCGUAAAGAGCUCGUAGGCGGUCUGUCGCGUCGGCUGUGAAAUCCCGGAGCUCAACUCCGGGUCUGCAGUCGAUACGGGCAAACUGGAGUACUGCAGGGGAGACUGGAAUUCCUGGUGUAACGGUGAAAUGCGCAGAUAUCAGGAGGAACACCGGUGGCGAAGGCGGGUCUCUGGGCAGUAACUGACGCUGAGGAGCGAAAGCGUGGGGAGCGAACAGG
rnacentral:rRNA from 1 species